rnacentral:lncRNA from 1 species
GUGCCUAAAGCAGGGCACGAAGCAGUGCAAGAAUGCAGUUAAAGCCAAGCAGUGCAAGAAUGCAGUAAGAGGAAAGGCCUGGACUGAGAGUCAAGUAAAAGACACAAAAAUGUGAGCUAAUAUUUGCACAAGAGAGAACAGUUUUAGGCGGACACUAAUAUUAGGUGUAAGCGGAAUACAUUAAAUGGAAGUCAUUCGUCCUAAUGUACCCGCUAAAUGAUGUUUUUGUGGAAAGAGUAUUGAAAGCAGGGGAUCUCCAUUAAGAACCUUUUUGGCCCCCAUCUCCAUCUCCAUCUGCAUCUGCAUCUGGAUUGCUCAAACAAAAGCAACUUAAACACAGAAGGCACACAGCACAACAAAACACACAACGCGAAUGAUAAUAAAAGUGGGGGAGAAUGCGAAAUUAAAAUACAAUUUGAAAGCAUCAAAUGGAGCAAUUAAGCGGUUGUCUGCAACCCACACACACACACACUUGCCACUCCUUUUUGCCACUCGCUUACCCGCAACAUGGCACUGGGCCUGUGGCCCACAAAAGUAGGCAACACGCACUGAAUGGCAUGCUGCUCUCGAAACUUGAUUACAAGUGUCGCGGAAAGCCCCAAAAAACAACUCGAAAGCGGCUCCAUAACCAACGAUAAGUACUAACAACACACACACACACACACACAUUUGUAACUGCCCCUUUAUGGGGCAAACAUAUGCCAUGGGCUGGUGUGGUACAUGUAUGUAGGAUGUGGCAAGUGUACAAAAGAGCCGCGAGCUAACAGCCAGCCAACUGGCAGCAACAGAAGAGUUGCAGCAGCAACCAGAGUGCCCUGAGGAAGAGCAUCCAUUGGCAGAGAGUAAACUUAGUGAGUGGUCCAGAGAAUGCCUUUUGCUGUCGGAUCAUCAUUGAUCCUGCAUCUUAGAGCAGCUUUAAGGAGCAGCCACAAUAUCAACAACAACAACAGCAGCAGCAGCAAUUUUACCAUCAUCGAUGACAGCUACUAACAGCAAUU